AAAGUUGGAAAGAAAAGAAGAAAUGGAAGAAAAGAUGACAAGAAAGCCAAAUUGGUCAGAGGAGGAAAAUUUUUUUACUGCUAGAGGUAUUUAAUAAAACAAAGCACGUAAUAAAAAGUAAAUUUGAUCCGCAAAUAACGGCAAACAAAAAACAAUGGAUGUGGAAAGAAAUAGCGUUAAAAAUAAAUUCAAGAAGUCUUAUUAAGACGUCCAUUCAGAAGAUCCAAAAGAAAUAUGACAACUUGUCUGUUCUCGCCAAAAAGGAGAUUACCAACUACAGGAGAGAGUCCAAUAAAACUGUACUAUUGAGGUCACUUUCCCUGUGGAUUAUUGUCCAACUCAUUGUCGGUGUGACUGGAGCAUCCAUAGUGUGUCAUGUUUUGGAGUUAGGUUCAUGCCUGUUUUCCAUUCCAGCACACAGGAGGUGUGGCUUGUGGGGACAACACUGUCUUCUAUUUCUCAGAAUGCCUUUGCCAACUUGGCCAACAUUUCUCACAUGUAAGAUUCCCCCGCCCCCACCUCACCCCCACUAACUAUUCUUUCAAACCAGCGUAAAUGGCAGGAAUAGGGAAUGUCACUAGAAACUAGCAGGGAGAGCACUAAAAAUCUCCACCAAAGCUGUAGGAUCUAUUACGUUUAUUGCAUAUUAAUAGAAAAUGUUUUCAACAUGUUA